rnacentral:rRNA from 1 species
GUACACUCCUGCGGGAGGCAGCAGUGGGGAAUAUUGGACAAUGGGCGAAAGCCUGAUCCAGCAAUGCCGCGUGAGUGAUGAAGGCCUUAGGGUUGUAAAGCUCUUUUACCCGGGAUGAUAAUGACAGUACCGGGAGAAUAAGCCCCGGCUAACUCCGUGCCAGCAGCCGCGGUAAUACGGAGGGGGCUAGCGUUGUUCGGAAUUACUGGGCGUAAAGCGCGCGUAGGCGGCUUUGUAAGUUAGAGGUGAAAGCCCGGAGCUCAACUUCGGAAUUGCCUUUAAGACUGCAUCGCUAGAAUCGUGGAGAGGUGAGUGGAAUUCCGAGUGUAGAGGUGAAAUUCGUAGAUAUUCGGAAGAACACCAGUGGCGAAGGCGACUCACUGGACACGUAUUGACGCUGAGGUGCGAAAGCGUGGGGAGCAAACAGGAUUAGAAACCCUGGUAGUCCCAUGA